AUCAGUAAUGCUGUACAGGGACUGUGUUCACAGGAUAUAAGGCAAAAAAAAAAAUCCAUCUUCUCGUAAGAGCCUUAGAGACUCUUAGGCUUCUUUACUAGGACAGCUGAGCUCUAAAGCGUGUGAACUUCACCCACCACAACUGUUUGCUCCAUCUCAAGCUCAGGACCCUGCCCUGUCUGCCUAACCACAAGUAUCCAACCCAGUAUCCACAAAUAAAUGCUUCACACACCUA
rnacentral:lncRNA from 1 species